GACCGCCUCGUUAUUGAUACGGAGGCAGAGUAGGAGGAGGAAAUGGGGGAGCCUUCAGGCCAGCCUGCACAGAUGUCACUUACGUGGGGAGGAGGAGCCACAGUAUAUAAUUAUUGACAGUCAGGAGGAGGAAGAGGAAGAGGAAGAGGAG